UACGAAGGGGGCUAGCGUUGCUCGGAAUUACUGGGCGUAAAGGGCGCGUAGGCGGAUACUUAAGUCGGGGGUGAAAGCCCAGGGCUCAACCCUGGAAUAGCCUUCGAUACUGGGUAUCUUGAGUUCGGGAGAGGUGAGUGGAACUCCGAGUGUAGAGGUGAAAUUCGUAGAUAUUCGGAAGAACACCAGUGGCGAAGGCGACUCACUGGCCCGAUACUGACGCUGAGGCGCGAAAGCGUGGGGAGCGAACAGG
rnacentral:rRNA from 1 species